GAUCUCCAGGCUAUCCAGGCCCUGCAGGGCCGAAAGGAGACAGAGGAGAGCCCGGCUAUGUCCUGGGAGGCGUGGAGGUGAUUCCUGGCCGGAAUGGGCAGCCUGGCCCUCCUGGACAGAAGGGGCAGCCGGGGGUUCCUGGGGUUCCAGGACCACCAGGUUCUCCAGGGCCACCAGGAAUCUCCAUCAAGG